UAUUAAAAAAGUUGAAGUGUUCUUAGAGAAAGCAAGAGUAACAGUCAGAAAAUUUCAAAGGAGCAUCGAAAUAUUGGAGUCACUGUAUUCAGAAUGGAGAAAUUUGAACAAAAGCUCUAACAGGACAUCAUUGAACCACGAAAAUAAGGAAAAGGGUUUCAUUGGAAAAUUUAACAAAUUGUUCAACAUUUCACAUGGAAAUGAUGACUAUUGAAGAAGAUAAAUUAUUUUUGAUGUGUCAACGAGAUAAGAAAAGAAAAGGUUGCAUGGCUAGUUCAGAUUAUUACUUAUACUUACAGGAAAAACAUGAACUAACACAAAAAAGUUUGAAAGAGCAAAGAGAUUUGAAACUUCAAAAAUCUUAAUUUAUGUCCAACAAGGUAGCUAUUUUAUACAGUAGUACAAGUAGUAUAAGUAGUAAUGAAAUAGCCAACAUGUCUUGUGAUGUUUCCGAUUCUAAUUUUAAUGAUGAAAAUGAACCUGGAGCAUCCUGUUGAAAAAGAAAAAGAGGCAAAUUAUAGUUUAUUACAUAAAAACUUGUUGCCGCUUUUAACAAAUGUAAAAUCCUAGUGAGUUGGUUAUUAAACGAGCUUCUAUUCACCGUUGUCGUAAACUUCAAAGGACCGAAAACGCACAAAAAAUUUUUGAGAAGUUUCAUGAAAAAAAAAAAAACCCAGCACAGUGGUGACGUGGCAUAGUUGGAUCAAGUAUAAUGAUAUCUGACAGUGAUUAAAAUCACUAUCAAAAAUAAACGCUUCGAUGCAAAUCUUUAGAUAGUGUUUAAUUUUAAAAAAAUUGGUGUUUUAUUCCAAAAGCUAC